GGCAUUGCCCCUCUCUGAGCAAAUGAAUCUCACGAUUCCACCUUUUUGACUGUCAAUACCAAGGCACCAACCAGUUUUAUUGAGUAUUACGCAAGCCUCUUUCGUAGCCCCAAUUGCUUGGGACGUUGUUAUCCCAUCUCAAAGGUAGGUUAUCAAUGCAUUACUCACCCUUACGCCACUCGAUUUGUACCCCUUUCGGAGUACUCCCCUCGUUCGACUUGCAUGCCUAAUC
rnacentral:rRNA from 1 species